rnacentral:rRNA from 1 species
UACGAAGGGGGCUAGCGUUGCUCGGAAUCACUGGCGUAAAGCGCACGUAGGCGGGUCGUUAAGUCGGGGGUGAAAUCCUGGAGCUCAACUCCAGAACUGCCUUCGAUACUGGCGAUCUUGAGUCUGGGAGAGGUGAGUGGAACUCCGAGUGUAGAGGUGAAAUUCGUAGAUAUUCGCAAGAACACCAGUGGCGGAAGGCGGCUCACUGGCUCGAUACUGACGCUGAGGUGCGAAAGCGUGGGGAGCAAACAGGA